rnacentral:rRNA from 1 species
UACGAAGGGGGCUAGCGUUGUUCGGAUUUACUGGGCGUAAAGCGCACGUAGCGGAUCGAUCAGUCAGGGGUGAAAUCCCAGAGCUCAACCCUGGGAUGCCGGUCGAUACUGCCGGACUAGAGUUCGGAAGAGGCGAGUGGAAUUCCCGGUGUAGUGGUGAAAUGCGUAGAUAUCGGGAGAACACCAGUGGCGAAGGCGGUUCUCUGGGCCUGUACUGACGCUGAGGAACGAAAGCGUGGGAGCGACGAGG